UUUCCAGCAUCUGCAGAAUUUUCCUCGUGUUUGAGUUUUUAAAUAGCAUCGGUUGCGUGUUCAAAAGGCAGUGAUUUUUGUCGCUGACAAUUGGCAAGUAAAAAACAGUAUGACAAUUCAGGACUGUUUUGCUCACUGAGGCUUCAAGCAUUCAGUCUUGGAAAUGCCAGAAAUGGCUGGGAGCGAAAAUGUAAACGAUUUCACCGCUUGAAGAGUUAGGACCUGUGAAGAAUUUUACGGGAGAACAAAACUACAGCUGUGAGGAGCCCUGCAUCACCUGGUGACCUGUGACCUCCGUCUCAGGGGCCGAUGUCAGGCUGUCCUUCAGGAGGAUGAAUCCUUGCAAGGUGGCAGACACCACAAUCACAAGGCGCUGCUGGACAUUAAGAAAUUAAAGUUCUGCCGACCUACCCCAUCAGUGAGUUGCUCGGUGGCAGAGAGGCUGGACAUGGCGUGGAUCGUGCUGCUGCCUGCAUCAGAGACGUGUCGGAGGAGUCGGUUUGCAGAGGAGGUGUACUGUCUAACAGCGACUGAUCACCUUAGUUGCUAUUCCUGUGAUCACAAGACCCUGCUGGACAUUGUUAAUGUGGAAUGCUGCGAGCCCAGUUCACUGAUUUAUUGGUAAACAGUAGGGAGCUGCAUGGCCUUAGUUGGAGUGACGACAAGGCCUCAGGCCACAGUGUCGCCUGUUUACAGCCACCCAGGAAGGAGGCAUCGGAGUCGGUGUGCUCCACCAGAGGCGGUGUGGCGUGGCGUCCCAGCUGCCCCCAGUGUUCACUCGGCAGAAAAGCAGCUGCAUUGUGUUCGACAGCAGACCGUGCAACAUUCAUGGACUCAGGGUCCUGGACUGUAUUUUACUGAUAUCUUAAGUAUGUUUCCUAUCUCAUACAUGGCUUGUGCUGUGUGUGACUGUCGGUACUGUGUCUUACACCUUGGCCCUGGACCAUUCCCUCAACCACUUUGUUGGUAUUCAUGUAUGGUUAAAUGACAAAUGAACUUGAACUUGGUAGAUCAGCUGCUUGAGUGGAGUCACAGCAACAGCACUUAACAGAAGACCAAGGAAUUGAUUGAGGGCUUCAGGAAGAUGAAGUUGAAGAAACACACACCAGUCCUUCUUGAGGGAUCAGAAGUUUCAACAUCUCUGAGGAUCUAUCCUGAGCUCAACAUAUUGAUGCAAUUACAAAGAAGGCACAACAGCAGCUAUAUCUCAUUAGGAGUUUGAGGAGAAUUGGUAUUUCCCAAACGCACGCACAAAUUUCUACAAAUGUACCAUGAAGAGCAUUUUAACUGGUUGCAUCACUAUCUGGUAUGGAGGGGCCACUGCACAGGACCAGAAAAAGCUUGUAAACUCAUCAUGGCACUAGCCUCGCCAGCAUCCAGGACACCUUGAAAAGGCAAUGGGUUAAAAGUUGACGGCUCGGAAAGGCGGCAUGUAUCAUUAAGGACACUAAUUGCCCAGGACAUGCCCUCUUCUCAUUGCUGCUAUCAAGGAGGAGGUACAAGAGCCUGAAGACACACACUUAACAUUUCAGGAACAGCUUCUUCCCAUCCACCAUCAGAUUUCUGAAUGGACAAUGAACCCAUGAAGGCUACCUCUGUCUUUUCCCUCUCUUUUUGCAUUACUUAUUUAAUUUAGUUUUCUUUUCCUAUAUAUAGUUAAUGUAAUGUAUAGUUUUUAUUAUUAUAUAUUGCAAUCUACUGAUGUUGCAAAGCAA